rnacentral:lncRNA from 1 species
AAAACGAACAUGUCAGAGUUUGGUGGACUGCAGUUUACGGUCCGACGGCGGUUCAAGGACGUGGUGACAUUGUCGGAUCGAGUAAUGGAGGCAUACCGAGGUUUUUUAUACCUCCAAGGCCUGAUAAGAGUGUGGUUGAGAGUCAAGUAAUGCAAAAGCAAGAGUUUGUUGAACAAAGAAGAUUUGCAUUAGAGAAAUACUUGCAGAGAUUGGUUGAGCAUCCUGUGAUUAGGCAAAGUGGUGAGUUGAGAGCGUUCUUACAGGUUCAGGGGAAGCUUCCCUUGCUACCGAAUUCUCCUGUAACCUUAAGAAUGCUUGAUGGGGCAACAAAAUCGUCAAAACAGUUGCUUGGGGAUAAUUUAGGUGGUGGUAGUGUUAGGAUUCAGCCUCAGGAUGUUGUGCGACCUGCAAAAAGUAAGUGGGAUUUUCUAAGGAUUGUGAAGGAGAUGAACCAAUCUGUGAACAAUAAUUAGGGAGGAUCAAAGCCACCCGUAAACGAGGAUGAUACUGAGUUUCUUCAAAAUAAAGAGAGACUCCUAAAUCUUGAGAAGAAACUUUCCAGUGCUUCCAAGCAGGUAUGUCUGAUAAUACUAACAACCCUUUCUUUCUUCUAAGCAGGUAUGUCUGAGAAGCAACAUCGUGGGAUAAGGUUGCAAAAAUGGUGGGCGGAGAAACCAUAUUUUUUUAGAAAUAAGGUUGCAAAAACGGUCCUCUAGGUGGAAAGACAAAAAUACCCUUGUCUUUAUUGCAAGUAAUAGAACAUAUGAAUGGAAGUUUAUGAAUGGAAGUUAGUGUGAGGAACCAAAAACAAUAAAAAAAAUCUAAUUUUGAACCAUGGUACACCAAACCAAAAAUGCAUAAAUUUGCCAACCAGAGGGACUAUUUUUACAAUUUUGUCUUGUUUUUAUUUAUAAAAAAUAGACUAAACUGCGGGGCAUGUGGUUAGCAC